GGCACAUAACCUUUUUUUCCCCUCACCAUCUAACAUUAAAUCAGAUUAAACUUUUCCUGUUUUUGGUCAAUUAGGAUUACCAAAAUCAUUUUUAUUUGCUAAAUGCCAGAAUAAUGAGAUAUUUACUACUAUUUCUCGAGAGUCAAACGUUUACAAACAUUUCAUCAAUAUUUGGAAGCUGCCUUUAAUCGUACGACUUGGGUCAAAUGCCUUGGAUAUGCUUCCACAAGCUUCUCACAAUAGUUUUCAGGAAUUUUGGCCCAUUUCUCCUGACAGAACUGGUGUAACUGAGCCAAGUUUGUAGGCAGACUUAUAUAGUGUAUGUAAACUUCUGGUUUCAACUGUAUGUUGCAAGAAAAGACAAAUCAAAGUUCUUUUAACUUAAAAAAAAAAAUUAAAGCUAUGACAAAGUUUUGGAGGUGCUGAAUCACUUUCCCUGUAUAAACCUGACCACACGUUCAUUCGGUUCAUAUUAAAUGCAAAACUAAAGUAAUAGUUAAUAGCUGGGCAGUAAUGUUUCCGCACCUGCUCCCAUAUGCCGGUAGGAUCACUGUUGGCCACUAAUCACACCUCCUCUGAUCCAGCACGUACACGUGACGAGCCCAUAUUGAAAUCAAACCGGUUCCCUCCUUCAUCCUGUAACUGGCUGCUUGACAGACGCUGCAGAUUCUAAUUGGCUCAGGGAGAUGUCCGUCAAACUAAAUUCCAUCGCUGUUGUCUUAGAGAUAUGACGUCAAAUAUAUCUAAUGUGAUGAGGCUGAGCAGCAGCAGAGUAAUUCGGGGAAAUAUUUGUCCAAAUGUGGUCAGUCCUGACAAAAACUGGUCUCAGUCUAGUUCUUGUUUUUGUUGUUUACUCCUGCCGGUCAGCUCUGCCAAGAUUCCCAAAAGUUUGGGACAGUGUAAAUCCCUGUUUUAAACUGUAGUUAUGGAGGAAUCAGCAAUGUAUGGAAAACUAAUGUAUGUUACUGUAAUACUCAUUGGAGGAGUUUGUGUGUCAUGUCCUGCUUUAGUUUGCGUUACAGAAUUGACAGUAACUUGAACUAGGGUAGGCUACUUUUUUCAUGUUUUGACAGUGGAGUGUGUGCUUGUGAGUGUAGUUAACAGGAGUGUGUAUGUCUGUGAAAGUGAGGGAGAGAGAGAGAGAGAGAGCGAGAGGGAGGGAGAGGGAGAGGGAGGGAGGCAGUUCGUCAGAUAAGGGGAGGAGUCUUUCACUGACAAGAGGGAGACUGGCUUUUCUGAGUUUGUCAGCUCCCCCUAAAAUAGCAGUCAGCGUGUAAAUGUGAACUGAAAUUACGUUUAUCCACUGGAGCCACCGAUAUAGAGUGUCUAUACUCAGCGACUGACUCGGGAGUAAAGGUGAGUAACGGAAAUAGAAACAAUGUUACGGAGUGUGGCAGCGGUACUGUAGCUACGGAGAGUGAGAGUAGAAAAGCGCAAGAGGGAGACGUAGAGUGGAUUUCAGAGACGGAGGAGACGUAAACUGUAGCCUACAUCUCUGUCUGUUUUCCUAUCUGUUUUCACCGGCAUACAUGAAGAAUAUGACACGGGACGAAGUUAAGAGGUUGUUUAAUGUCACUGUUAUCUGUCGUUUUAGUUCAUAAGCGAGGUUUUUGUGCCACUGGACAUCAAAACUGCCUAUUCAAAGGGUGGAUUUAGACGAGCGCGCGCUGUUGAUAUCUGUCAAUCGCGAGAAACUUUUACACGAAUCAUACUGAAUGUAACACGCUGUCAGUGGGACUCUCUCUAAAUCUUUACUCAUAUAUAUAUUUUUAAAUGUAAAGGUCUGAAAAAAAAAUCCCAGCACAUUUUUGUCGGACUGAAAGUAGGCAUAUAUCUACUUUUUUAAACAGGCGCACCUUUAAGAGCAAAAUAGUAAUUAAUGUGUUUCUGACAACACUGUUGAGCUAUCACAACAGCAGCAGGCUCAGUUCACACAGUGAAUAUAAUAGAAGCUUCAGCCUAAUACAGAGUUCACUGCAAAGUUUAUGUUUACUGACAACUUCUAAGAACGUGUAAGACAGCUUGAAUCAAUAAAACUAACUUUACAUGAUCAUUAUAUCAUUUUGAAUAUGGCUACUUAAAGUAUUUAUAUUUUAUAAUUUCUUUAUGUUAAUGGAAUUGACAUGUAAAUCAUGCUGGUCAGCCUGUGCAAAUUGAUGUGAUUUACACUCAUGUAUUACAGACAUGAUGUAGGAAAUGUUCCCUGGGCAACUACAGGCGUAUCAUACUAUAAUUCAAUACAGCAAACCAAGAGGAGUCAACUUGAUCAAAAGUAUAAGUUGUGGCAUAAUAUAUAAAGCAUUAUCAUGUGGUGCUUUACAUAUGAUCCCCUUAAAGGAAACCACCCCGUGUUUACUUUAAGAGGGGUUUGAUCAAGGCGCUUAAUGACUGGCCAAAGCUGAAACAAGGGAAUUAUCCUCUGUGAAGUGUGAAAAAUAAUUUUCUGUCUAAAUAUGCCUCUUUUUAGAUCCAAAAUCGCACAUUUUUAUUGGUUUAAGUAACAGGCUAUGACAACAGUUACAGAAUAUAAAGAAUAGUCCUUAUUGGCAGUUGGAUAUCACAGUUUAAGAGAGAGGAUCUUUGCUGCCUGACGGUUUCUCUGGACCUCCAGGACUCCCGUGACCUUAAGCCCCGGCCAGAGUACGCAAUAGCUAACAGUAACCUGACCUUCUCAAAUGUUUCUAAUGAAUGUGUACACCAUUGAUGUCUCAUUAAUAUUGCACUGAGGGAGGAGACUUAUUCCAGUUGUAUCAAAAAAUGCCAGCAGUAUGACCUAAAGUUAUUUUCUAUUCAUUUAAUUUAAAAUGAACAAAUGUUUCAAUGUCUUUCUUUAGUUAGGUUUUUUUUGCAACUUAUUUUUUGAAAUAAUACUCCAUAAUUUGUCAUUUGGCAAAUUUCAACAGUAUCCUUAUAUGUUGCUCUGACUCUAUUGUGAAAGGAGUUCAUCAGAGACACGAGUUGUCGCAGCAGGAUAACUUGUACUUCUCUUGGUCUGUUUUAUGUUCUGAUGGCAUGUACAUUAGCAGCUGGUUGCCAGUGAUUUCUAAAGCAAAGCAGUAAAGCACCCUCCAAUCUGCAGUCAUUAGCUUCUGUGCUGCCCCGGGCCUCGCCUGUAAUGGGCCUUGUUGCUCAUGAUCCACAUCACGUGAGCUCUUAUAUCUAAUGUGUGGAUGAGGGCUUCUUUCAGCGCUGCUCAGAUGAAUAUCAUUUUAACAAUUUAUGUUGUCUAUUAGUCAAAGAAAUGAAUAUGAUGUCUGUGAAGGCACAGAUUGAGCCAGCAUGACUGCAUGCAGUGAGCUGUUGCUUUAACCUCAGAGACCCCAAAUGUUCCACCUUCAGAUAACACAAAUGCGCACACAGAUUUGAUCAUUUGUAUAUUUUAUCUCACCCCUCAUCAUUUAAUCAACAGUAUUAUGUUGGAGGAUUGCAAACUCGAUGGAUGAUUUUCCAGGGUGACUACGUCUGUUUAUGAAACGUUCUAGCCUUGUUACAUGUCCUGUUUGUGCGCUCCUGCAUGUCUCUGUAAAUGUGUGUAAGUGCUUGUUAGCGUUUCAGCACAAGUUCUCGGUGCAAAGGGAGAAAUGAGAGGUGGUGACGGUGUGAGGAACGGGCAGCUGCAGCAUCUUUUGCUGCACUCCUCAUCCCACUUCAAUCUCAGUGUCUCAGCUUCUCCUUCCAGGAGAAAUGUGGAGUGUGUGGGCGAGUCAGAUCUGCAAUUAACGCUGGUUGUCAGAAAGAGAAUGCUGGCGUUUACUCGAUGCCUCUGAAUCACUGAGUGAAAGUCUUUCUCGUCCACUCUCCUCCUCCCAGGACAUUUUUUUUUUUAUUCCAAGAAGGACAAAACACCAGAAAGCGGAAAGCCAAGGAUGUUUUGAAUGAAAACUUUAAUAUACAUUCUGAAAAUUCUUGGUCCACCAAAGCGGAAAGUGUUUCUAUGAUUGUUUGGUAAGCCAGAAAUGUCUCUAUUUUCACUGUGAUUGAGCUUCAGCAGUUGUGAAUUUUGUAAUGUGGAAACAGAUUUGUUAUCUGUAUUUUACUAACAUGAUUUGGGCUUUAUUUAUACUUUUACUUAAUUUGAUAUGUGAAGCAACACAGGCUGGCUGUUUUCUAAGAGUAAGCUUUGAGUGCAGUGUUCUAGUAUCUUGGCUCGUUUGUUGAUGAUACUUGUUAAAGAGGUCCUUAAAAAAAAAUCACAGUUUGGCUUGGUUAACAGGAAAAUGCUUUCAGGUGAUGAACACCCCUCUUCAUCUUUUAUUGAUUAGUAUCUUUCCUUCUUUUCUGCAAAAGAAAAAAAAUACUUUCCAACUUUCUCCCUGCCUAACAAAAGCAUAUUAGCAAGAUGAUUCAUUGUUUAUUGGAGCUGUAUCAUCAAUAUGGAGAUUCCAGCGUUUUCCUGUGAGACCUGGAGGUUGGAUGCAGAAUUUGGAGCCUUGCAGAUAAUGUUUUAGGCUGCAGUUAACUGUAGACUGUCCCCUGUAGACCGAAGAGAAAAAGAGUGGAAAAAGACUUUUAAUGUUCAUGCAGUGUUGCUAGUGUCAACUUUAAGCUGAAAAAUGAAACUAUAUAUACUGCCUUUAUAUAUUUUUUCUCUUUCCAAGUUCAGAUAAUGCUAAAUAGGUCACAAACCACUUUUUAUUGGACCUGCUAUGUUCAGUUUCUUGCCAUCUCUGUGGGGUGCUUGUAUGUGCUGUAUGUAUUAGACAGGAUGCAAAUGUGCAGUGAUCAUGAGCCGUGGUUGGUAUAUUGGACAGCGUGAACUUGCUAAGAACAAUUCACAGUUUUACAUGAAGUUUUUGGCUCAGAGUUGAAGGAAUUUUUACUCAAAGAAUCAGAAUUUAGUUUUUCCUUUUUAAACUUUUUUUUUUUUUUUUUAAUGAAAGUAAGUCAACUUUUGAAAAGAUACAAGGCGUUUUUUGAAAAUAUCUUUUCAAGUAUUUUUUCUUUAAAGACAAUAUCACCUUAUAAUAACAUAACCUCCUACAAUCAAUAUUUAAAAAAACCUCCAGUGUAAUUGUGGCGAUCAAAUAGGCUGAUGUAAGCUCAGAGGAUGAAUGUAUGACUUGCUGAGGCUCUGUUUGUAUAGCAGGACAGCUUGCGGUGACCUUUCAACUGUCCUGCCCUUGACUGAGACCUCUGCUGGUAAGCCACCUCUUUGGCUCACUCAGCACAUGUGCUGCUGAGCAGGGCAGAGCAGCUUAAGGCCGCCGUCUUUUCCUGUCUCCCCCUGCUCUUCCAAACGAGGCCUGACUGGAGGUCUCUUCACCUCUGCAACCUGGACUACAGCGGGGAGCCAGCGGGGUAAGAUCCUGGAGUAGAGCCGCACUCUAAAUCUGCUGCUAAUCUGCUUUCACCACUAUGAUCCCAGUCUGUCGUUCACUCUACAAACUGGUUGCAGAUUGUGAGUAAGUACAAACAUGUAGAGCCACAGAUAUUGAAGUAACCCUAAAUAACAAUACUGCUCAGCUUGUGUGCAUUCUUCAGAUGUUGAGCCUUUGUUAUAUUACAAAAAAUAACCAUACAGCUACUUCGUAAAGUCAGAGAGCAGGGCUAGCACACUCUGUGGUUUCGGGAGAGUAGUCUGUGGAGAAUGUGGUGGGGCAAAGGUGAUGAUUUCGAGAAGACAAGUCAUUUAGCACCCGUAGAAGAUGCCUCUUCCUGCUUUUUGUUUUUCUGGAGUGCAAUAGAAACCACUCUUUCACACUAUUGUCAUCUCAAAAGUAAGUGCGCUACACUACAGUGGCACGUAACCUCACUGUGUGUCCUGUGGUUUGGUUAGUCGCCUUUUAAUUAUUUUUUUGCUGUAAAGGAUACUUGCCUGUUUGAAACUGUGAUAGUGGUGAGGGACUUUGUUGCUCCACAAUGCCAUGGUAAUGUUAAGUCGAAUUGAGCAGAAAGCUAAACUGCAAAGGAAGUUAAGAAAGACAUCUCUUUGCUGAGUUGCAUUUUAACUGAAUUUUAAUGAGACUGUGAAAAAACAUAAAUCAAAGGAAUAUAUUAUAAUCUAAUUUACUAGAUCAAAAGAUCUCCCAUGAUUGCUAAUAUACCCCACUGUAUAGAGUUCCUGAUGUUCUACUGUAGAUCUUAAAAAGCGUCUCUCACUGGAGAUUUCACCACCCUGCCUCUGUACAGAGUCGACUGAGUCGAGGCAUCUAAACAGACAAACAAUUGAAUUAUGUGCAAAGUAAACUUUCUUCAAAGUCUGUUUUUUCUUUGUGAUGAAGCUGUUUAUUGUAUCCGUGAUAAAAAAGACUUGAAUUUGAAACCAUUCGUUCUAAUAGUGAUCAAAGAAAUGCUAUAUCUUGAAAGCAAAUGCACCUGUCAGUGGAUGCUGACCAUCAUUUAUUAACCAUUAACCACCAAAUUCGACCUUUUUGUUCAUUCCUUCUCCAAAGAGAGGAUUGCACCACAGUAACAGGGUUUUCUGGACAUAGGGCUUCAGGUUGGCUGAGAGAAUGUGGCUUAGCUGCUCAGUUAUGGCAAAAAUAAACAAUUAUUGCAAUUGAUAGUUAGAUCAUUAUUAUUAAACAUUAUUCUGAGUAUGGACCAACUUUGCUCACUGUUUAGCCCGCCCAUCAUCAGCUGGUUUACUCUUGCAAACAGUAAGGCCCCUCUCUCCUCAUGCUCACUGUAUUGCUCUGCUUUACUUACACACAUCUGCUCCUCCCGCUUGUCUUCCUGGCAGUACUACACAUCUCUCCCUUCCCCGCCUGUGGCCACGUGAUGGUUUGUACCGCUGUGGCACAACAUGUUGAAGAUACAGCAGUCCCCACCUAACAUAUUUUUUGGCAUCCAUAACUUCUUGGCGUCCUCAAACCUUGUUGCACACUGAUCUAAGCUGUUAAUUAUGAAGUUCAUCUUCAGCCAAAAGUAUUACACUCAGCUCAGCUGUUUUCUAGAUGUGUAUUGUUUUUAGCGUUUGCCCAAGCUGUUAAAUAUCAGCCAUAAUACUGUGUGUCUAUCCUUUAAAUGCAGUCGUGUUUGAGGGGUAUCCUAUAUUGGCCAGUGCUAAAGUCGAGGCACUGGUGUCACGGAAGAAAAUUCUUGGUAUUACAAGAGUUUUAAAAUCUCAUGAAUGUUUAACCAAAGGAAGUGUUUUUAUCUAUGGUGUGUGUAGUUAAACCAGCUGUAGGACCUGGGUUUCAGCUCCUACAGCGUGCACAUUGACUGAAAGUCCAGUAGCUGCUGGAAGGAAGACUUAGAUCUCCUGCAGCUGCUGGACUGACCCUGUGGCCUCCCAUGCCGCAGGAAAGAGGCCUGGCCUGCUAUAUUGUUGUUAUUCUGUUUGUCUGAGGAGCCAUGUGAACCAAGACAGCUGGGGGGGAUGAUUCCUCCCAUUAUUCUGCCCUACACAUCAGUCGUAUGAACUAGGAAGGGAAGUGACCCAGCCCCCCUCUGCUCUGUGGAAGCUGCUCCAGUCCACCGCAGGGCUCUGACUGCCGGUUCAAAGUUGCCUCCUUCUCUGCUGUGAGGGCUGAACUCAAGCAGCAUGAAGACUAAAAUGCCUUAUGGGUUUUCUUUUUAGCAAGAAAAUGAGUUUCCAACUUGUCAUACACUGUUCAGAAUCCAGUUUGUUUAUGUUUUGUUUCCAGGUUCUGGAUAACGAAUAUGUGUUGUUAACCCUGUGUGUAUAAGGGGAAUUAAAAACCCCCAUUAAGUGUCACUUUAACUAGAGAUGUUCCUGUGCCUUAUCACUUCGGAUCUUCAUUCAAACUCUGGGGUAAGAGUUCGUACUUGAACUGUAAUGUGUCGUUCAAGCUUAAGCAUAAUAAUACAGUAUACCAACACAUCAUGCUGCUAAAGUACCUUGCAUCAUGAUCCAGAAUAGGGCACUUUCAUUUUAACUUGGCAAAUCCAUGCACUCUUGACCUCAGUAAACUAAUACGGUAAUAUUCAUCUACAGAUAAUAAAGGUAAACAAAAUAACUGAUAGUUAUAUGAUUUCAGUGCCGCAUGCCAGUUAUAUGUUUUGUCUGAGCUGUAGCGCUGCUACCUGCCACGAAUGGUGCGUUUGUUAUGUUAAAAACUGACCUUACUCAUGUUUCCACUCUCAAGUGUACGUCAGAAAGGAUGUGUGUUGGUUGUGUGACCGUUUGGAACUAGUUGAUUCCCAUGAUAGUAUGUGAGACCAAUUAUCAACCAGUCGCUUUGCUAGGUAACAGAAGGCUCAACAGAAAAGUGAUAAGUUGAGAGCUGUGCUGGCUUCGAAUCAGCUAUAUAUUGACUGGUGGUGCUAGCUCUGCUAACAAUAUCCCCAUUGGACAAAGCAAUUUGACAUUUUUUACCUACAGACUCUCCAGUCCUACAUGCUGCUGUGUAAGUUUCUGCCCCAUAUACUUGUUUUCUUGUUGUCUUGGUGUAGACUAGUUAAAUUUCUGUUAAAAUAAAAUUGGUCACUUAGGAGCAUCACUACCUGAAAUAGCUUGAGCUUUCGGGGGUUUAAUAGAUAAACCCAUAAGAUUCUUGUAUUGACAAGUGUACUUGCCAACCAGAUACCCUCACAUCCUGUCACGCAGUGGUGCAUUUUAGACAAUGUCAGAGGCCUAUACUGAUUCUGAUAAGACCAACAAGACCAAGCAGGGUUUAAAUUCUUCAUCUUUUACAGGUAAGCAACCUCAGCCUGUUAAUAAUGGGAAUUUACACUCUUUUUAGCGAUCUAGACCAUUUUGCUCAGCAAGAUGUGUCUGUCUCGGCUCAAAUGGCAUUUUAGAGAAAGGUCUUCUAUGACAUAGAUCUUUUCCCCAACUUUGUAUAGUUAGUGGGGGUGGGAGAAAAAAUCGAUACAGCAUAGUAUCGCGAUAUUUUGUCUGGUGAUGUAUCGUAUUGUCGGGGAAUUCCCUCACUGCAACAGCCUUACUUAUCUAAAUGAUCGGCACAACUCCUCUUUCUGUUUCACCCGCGUUGCUCUCACUUAUUCUGCUUCUGCUAAUAUUUACAUUUCAUUUCAGGUGAAAACAAAUCUUUAAACAAUCAAGGGCAUUUAGAGAGUAUUAUCAUUAUAUCUCCAGUCACUUGAUCCCAGCUCUCUAUAGUGUGACUGAGAUUGUGAGCGAGGUGUUGAGACAGCCCGCUGUUUCUGUGUCUGCCCGUCUGUCCUCUCCUUUUCUCCCAGUCCACUUUCCAUCUGUGUGCUAUGGGCUGCAAAUCUAGUAGGAAACGGUGUAGUGUUUCCACUGGCGAGCUAUCGCCUGCCUGUACGCAUGUCAGACUGUGUUGUUCUUGAUUUUGUUCCCUUGCUCCCCUCAACCUGACUGGUCUGACAGUCUGGUGUUUCAGAGCGUUUGUAGGAGUCCGGAGUAAGAAGGGGGGCAGGGUGGCAUCCAUCAUCAGCCGGCUGGCCCUGAGACUCAGAACCAGAGGCUAUCAGAAAACAGUCAGACUGAAAAGAUUCCUGGAGAGGCAAGCAGCAGCAGGGCCUGUGGGGGUCUCUCUUUCUUCCUCUGCCUCUGUCCUCCCUCUCUCUCUAUCACACUGUUUGCACACAGUGUUCAUGUGACAGCUAGCACACAUCAUCUGAUUUGGGAGUAACUGUUUGCUGCAGCUGCAGAGAAAACUCAGAGUGAACACUGCUCAUACAGUUGUAGUUAUUGAGAUAGACAUACGGUGGACAUGGUUACUAUUAAAACACAUUGUUAACAAACAGACAGACAGACAUACAUGUAUCUACAUUUUUGUACAUCUGCCAGCUUUUUCACUGUAUUAAAACUAUGAAUAAGUUAGUAAACUGCCUUAAUUUUGAUAUAUUAGAUAGAUUAUGGUAAUAACAAACCUGCACAAGAGCUUUUACAGACUUAUUCUUUGACAUAAAACUGCAAGAAAAGAAAAUCAAUGCUACUUUGGCCAGCCCCUUUCACUGUUGUUAUGACUCAUGGCCAUCCUCACUGCUCAGAUUGCAUAAACCUUUUAUGUAAUGGAACACUGUGGGAGAGAGGCAUCGAGUGGAAGAUAAAAAUGGGAAGACAAAAUCAAAUAUUUAUCCUUGGCUUUUUAAUUUUUUUCCAUUAAAAAAGAGACAUUCUUCAAAAGCAAAGUGAUCCUGAACAUCACGGACUACAUGUAUGUCAAACAAAAAACUGUUGUUUUUAUUCAAAUCUUCCUGCUGAUCAUCAAACUCCAGGGGAGAAGUGAAUAUCUGAAAUCUCAGUGCCUAAUCUGGAAACACAGUACUUCCAAAGACGUGUUGAGAUCCUGUAAAUGUGCUGCUGCUGAGACACAUUAUGCAUGACGUCCCUAAUAUCCUUACACUGUGGAUUCCCCCCGGAGGAAGAUCUCGGUUCAUCUUCGCUGUUUACCAUUUCUGAGUUGCGGUCUGUGCAACAUCAAAAGGCUGCCAUGGCACUUAACACAGCUCGCAGGGUUCCUGGAGGGUUGGGGGACUGUCGGUCCCCAUGGUGUUGGCAUUAUUAUUGCUCCCUAGUGAGAAGUCCAUCUGAUGAUAGACAACCAUGCAAAUGUGCGCAUGCCUCUGCACUAAAUCAGACCACAGUACCACCCUGAAAUACCAUACACACAUAUAAACCCUGUUGCUUCAUUUGGUGUCUGUCUAUAAUUGUUAAAAACUCCCUCAGCUGUAACUUUAUUAGAAAGGAGCAAUAUCACGAGCCAGGAAGUGUCCAUCCAUACAGAGUCUUGUACUCUUAAGUUGUGCCAUGUCAACACACCGACUUGUUAAAGUGACAUCCUGUCAUGAGGAAUGUGGGUGAUGGAGGACUUUAGCUCAGAGAUACAGUUUGUUAAACCAAUGGCUUUAAUUUGAAGUGAGUAGCCGGUCAUUACUGUGCCAAUUGCAGUUCACAGAUACAGCAUGACGAACUGUAGAUCGGCUGAUUAGAAGUUAUUUGCAAGAGUCAAGAGGUUAAGCUGAUAUAAAGACAUUUUUCACUGAAGCACAGUGAAGCUUUACUCUGUGCUACCAUGGGAAACUGACGGCAGAGCAGUUUUAACUCUGGCAGGACAUCAGACCAAGACUGAGAACUUCGGUUUUCACCACUACACCAGAGGCGCAAAGCUCAAGAAGAAAGUCUUUCAAACAUCUAUAUGUGUUAUAGUAUCUAGAACCAGCAUAGUGAAAGAAUAAUCAACUGUUUUAAAGGGGCAACAUUUCUUUUAACUUAUAUUUUGGGGCAUUUUUUUGUCUUUAUGAUACACACUGAAAGAGAUAAAGGAAAUGUGGGGAGCAGAGAGUGACGGAAGACAAGCAGCAAAGGGAUGUGGUGGGAAAACAAACUAGUAACUGCUGUGAUGAGGACUAUUACUCAUAGACUGUAAAUACUAUAGACAACUUGGUUCCGCCUUUCGCCAGUAUACGGAUUUGAAGCCGAAAAGCUCUCGUAAUGUGGUAAUGCCGCACUUUUUCUCCACUUCCCGAAACCAACAUUACGCAGUAGCGUUGUACGCACUCCACCACUUGCGCAGUAGCAUUGUACGCAUUUGGUGGGUGAGUCGCGGAGAGUUGCUAUGAUGACGCUCAGCUCAAACAGCGUAUCCCCCGAGUGAGCUAUGCAAUCUUCGUACGCCCAUAGGCUGUAUCAAAUGUCAAUCAUAGUAAAACAUCAACCCCCUAAUAACUUUUAAAAAUUGAGCUGCACAGAAAAAAGAGGACUUGAGCACAAACCAGUCUUACAAUAACUACAUGUUAACAUCACAACCAGGGGGGAAAAAAAUGUAUAUUCUGUUUUAUAAAUUUCUAAAGUUUGUCCACAGCCCCAUAGGGAUUGCUGGAGGAGGCGGGAUUUAUGACCUAUAUUGCAGCCCAUCACUAGAGGGUGCUGUUCUCAGGGUGGCUUCACCCAGUGAGGAGGCAGACGCUGUCCAUUUUAUAUACAGUCUAUGCUAUUACCCCAAUACAAGGAGGACGUAAACUUCUUGGUCAUUGGCACCCAAAUCCCAACAACUUUUCCUUGAAACCAGAGAUUGUGCCAAAGGUAGAGACAGGAACGUCAACAUUCAUAAAAGCCUCAUCCAGUCUGUGUUUGAUGCAACUGAAGCUACGAGUCGUAGCACUAACUUAAAGCUGUCUGCUCAUUAGGAACCCUUUCUAAAGUGAAGCUGAAUGUUCAUCUAUAUGUAAAAAGUUGUGUUUCAACUCAGUUUCAGACAGAAGUGCACAGUCCUCUGAGAUACCUGUCAAUCAUCAUAAUUAACUUAGCGCCCGGACCACUUCCUAUAGCCAUUAAAACAAUUAUAUGAGCUUUUAGAGCAUGUUUUUUGUUCUGUUGCAUUUAUUUUUCACUUUCCUGAAUUUGCAGACAGUUUCUGAUUUUCAGCCAUUGCAAUGCUGUCACCCUUGUUACAGGAAAAUGAGGCUAUUAGGUUAAAAAUAUCCAAUUCAUUCAUCAUGGGGUUGUUGAAUUAUUUUAAGACUCUUCAAGAACUUGGACAUCACUUCUCAUCAGUUUUUUAAUGACUGUUAAGUGAUUGCAGAAAAGUUUUUUCAGGUGUUGAGCUUUCAGCUUAAAUGUGUGGCAGUACUUUGCAGGCACCAUUUACCAUCCACACUAUAGUAACUGCAAUGUUUUGUUUAUGUAGGUACUAGGCUGGCUGUCAAGCACAUUCCUUUUUAAUGAGACAUUAUUUGUCGCUCUACCCUUGCAUAAAGAAAGCGAUAAUUUUCUUUGUAUGUAAAAGUUUAACUAAAAUCUGCAUCGGGGGAUUUACCUUGAGAAGGAGAGUCACUCCUCUACAUGAAAUGGAUAUAACUGUUAGGAGAGGGUCAUCUCUUUAUCCUUGAGAAACUGAGAAUCCACUCAUUGGCUGGGCUUGAAAACCUGACUGACGCAAAUGGAUCAUUGGGAAUAGAAGUGUCCCAGCAGUAAUUAUGUUACAACGCCGCUGCCGCACACUACCACAGAGGUGGGAUGGGAUGGGCGCGGAGCUCUUCUUUUAGUCUUGUUUCCCUUACAUCUUUCCACAUAGUUAACACAGUUAUACCAUCUUCUACUAUCUCUCGCUCUCCCUCUCUUGUUGUCUUUCCGUGUCUUUUCAAACGGGCAAACUGCUGUUAAACCCCAAAAACACGUGAAGUGCAGAGGAAAGUUUUUGAUUUUCAUUUUUUUUUCCUGUCUGUUUAUGUCUCAUCCUCUACGUCUCAGUGAGGCCAAAAGUUGCAGAUCAUGUCACUUGUUUGUCAAUCUUUUGACUCUGCCUUACAGCCAAAGAAACCAAAUUAAGUUCCUUUCAUCCCCAGCUAUCCUUGGCUCUUUGGCUCUGACUCAGUUAAGAAAGAGACAUGAAAUUAAUGUAAUGUCAAUGGAGUUUUCUCAUGAAACCCCAAGGCACUUAGUCAAAGUCACCUUGUAUAGUCCUCUCAUCCCCUGACAGUACAGUGAGAGUGAGAUGGAGGAUGUCUGUCUGGUGAUGCUGUCAGUGUCUGACGUCCUUUGCUUAUUGGUUGCUGUAUCCAGGUGUUCAGAUGUUGUAGAUUGGAGACAUGUCUGGUGAUCGUCUGAAGAACAACAUCAUUUCCAUUCAGUGGGCUGUGUAGCGCUGCCUGUACGAUGAGACAUUUCCUCAGUGAGAGCAGGUUCAUCCUGUGGGGUUUUCUCUCCUUUUGAUGUCAUUUUGGAGGUGAUAAGUAGCUUUCUGUCUCCUGGUCCCUGUCUUACAACACCAUCCCCCAGCCCAAGCAA